GCCUUGCUAGCUCAAUCGGUAGAGCGUGAGACUCUUAAUCUCGACGUUGCGGGUUCGAUCCCAACGUGGGAUU
rnacentral:tRNA from 1 species